rnacentral:rRNA from 1 species
GACAGAGGAUGCAAGCGUUAUCCGGAAUGAUUGGGCGUAAAGCGUCUGUAGGUGGCUUUUAAGUCCGCCGUCAAAUCCCAGGGCUCAACCCUGGACAGGCGGUGGAGACUACCAAGCUGGAGUACGGUAGGGCAGAGGGAAUUUCCGGUGGAGCGGUGAAAUGCGUAGAGAUCGAAAGACACCAACGGCGAAAGCACUCUGCUGGGCCGACACUGACACUGAGAGACGAAAGCUAGGGGAGCGAAUGGG